rnacentral:tRNA from 1 species
GGGCCAGUGGCACAAUGAAUAACGCGUCUGACUACGGAUCAGAAGAUUCUAGGUUCGACUCCUGGCUGGCUCG